rnacentral:rRNA from 1 species
UACGUAGGGUGCAAGCGUUGUCCGGAAUUAUUGGGCGUAAAGAGCUCGUAGGCGGCCAGUUGCGUCUGCUGUGAAAUCCCGGGGCUCAACCCCGGGCGUGCAGUGGAUACGGGCUGGCUAGAGGCAGGCAGGGGAGAACGGAAUUCCCGGUGUAGCGGUGAAAUGCGCAGAUAUCGGAAGGAACACCGGUGGCGAAGGCGGUUCUCUGGGCCUGUACUGACGCUGAGGAGCGAAAGCAUGGGGAGCGAACAGG